rnacentral:snoRNA from 1 species
CCCCUCUCAGGAUCACACCUGGAGAGUUUCCAGUACUCUUCCAGUCUCGGCUCCGGGAGGAAGAGUUAAGCAGAGGCAUAUCCAUUCCAUUCCUAGCUUGGGCAGUGGCUAGCGAGUGGAAGGCAGUCUGCUUCAUGU